rnacentral:ncRNA from 2 species
UAAAGAAUAUAAGGGAGCUAUAAUUGCUGAGAGGCAGUUCUGAAAUGGACUGCGACCUUCAUACCUGAUUUGGAUAAUGCCAACGUAGGAAAUAUAAGUCUAUAUUAA